ensembl:ncRNA lncRNA:CR44582 long non-coding RNA:CR44582
AAGUCGUCAGCGUGUCGAAAAAAAAACCGAUUUGCAUAUUUACACCUACACAAGUGCAAACAGCACCCACACUCGUGCACACACACACAGGUACUAACACUCACACACACACAUAACUUGCAUACAAUAAAUCUAGUGACGUCUCGAGAGAAAGACGUCACGUACAAAGAAGAGGUUGGCGAAAAGUAAGAGAAGCUGGAUACGUUGCUUUUCCUGUUUCCUGCUUAAGUUCCUGCCCAGCUCUUGUUGUGUUGGGAAAUCCUUGCAGUCGGCGAGGAUGGUUCGCUUACCCCCCCCCCCCCCAAAUAGCCUGAAUGCCGAGCAGAAGGUCCUUGCAUCCUGCUCCUCAUGCUCACCGCAAAGUGACGGUGAAAAAUCGUCGCCAGUUCACAUGAAAAUUGAAAUGAAAAUGAAAAUGAAAAGAAAAUCGAGCUCAUCAUGUGUAUAUAAAAAUACAUAUUUUCCACUCUACCUCGACUGCGUUGAUAAUGAGCACCAUUGAGCGGGAAAGGGGGAAAACUAAGGAACUGGAUUUAUAUUCAUACGGAGUACGGAGAAAAGUGCUUUGUUAAUACUUUCGGCGUAAAGACUUUUCAGAAUAACAGAUUUCGUCGAAUAGCUCAGUCGGAAUGAAGUAUUAAAUUGUAGCAUUCAGCGGGUUAACUAAAUUU